rnacentral:rRNA from 1 species
GACGAACGCUGGCGGCGUGCCUAAUACAUGCAAGUAGAACGCACAGUUUAUACCGUAGCUUGCUACACCAUAGACUGUGAGUUGCGAACGGGUGAGUAACGCGUAGGUAACCUGCCUGGUAGCGGGGGAUAACUAUUGGAAACGAUAGCUAAUACCGCAUAAUAUUGAUUAUUGCAUGAUAAUUAAUUGAAAGGUGCAAUUGCACCACUACCAGAUGGACCUGCGUUGUAUUAGCUAGUAGGUGAGGUAACGGCUCACCUAGGCGACGAUACAUAGCCGACCUGAGAGGGUGAUCGGCCACACUGGGACUGAGACACGCCCCAGACUCCUACGGGAGGCAGCAGUAGGGAAUCUUCGGCAAUGGACGAAAGUCUGACCGAGCAACGCCGCGUGAGUGAAGAAGGUUUUCGGAUCGUAAAGCUCUGUUGUAAGAGAAGAACGGGUGUGAGAGUGGAAAGUUCACACUGUGACGGUAGCUUACCAGAAAGGGACGGCUAACUACGUG